rnacentral:rRNA from 1 species
ACCGGCCUCGGGGCGCAGCAGUGGGGAAUAUUGCACAAUGGGGGAAACCCUGAUGCAGCGACGCCGCGUGAGCGAAGAAGUAUUUCGGUAUGUAAAGCUCUAUCAGCAGGGAAGAAAAAUGACGGUACCUGAGUAAGAAGCACCGGCUAAAUACGUGCCAGCAGCCGCGGUAAUACGUAUGGUGCAAGCGUUAUCCGGAUUUACUGGGUGUAAAGGGAGCGCAGGCGGUGCGGCAAGUCUGAUGUGAAAGCCCGGGGCUCAACCCCGGGACUGCAUUGGAAACUACCGAACUAGAGGGUCGGAGG